UACGUAGGGGGCUAGCGUUGUCCGGAAUCAUUGGGCGUAAAGCGCGUGUAGGCGGUUCGGUAAGUCUGCUGUGAAAGUCGGGGGCUCAACCCUCGAAUGCCGGUAGAUACUGUCGGACUAGAGUGCGGAAGAGGCGAGUGGAAUUCCUGGUGUAGCGGUGAAAUGCGCAGAUAUCAGGAGGAACACCAAUUGCGAAGGCAGCUCGCUGGGACGUUACUGACGCUGAGACGCGAAAGCGUGGGGAGCAAACAGG
rnacentral:rRNA from 1 species